rnacentral:rRNA from 1 species
AGUGAACGCUGGCGGUAGGCCUAACACAUGCAAGUCGAACGGCAGCACAGUAAGAGCUUGCUCUUACGGGUGGCGAGUGGCGGACGGGUGAGGAAUACAUCGGAAUCUACUUUUUCGUGGGGGAUAACGUAGGGAAACUUACGCUAAUACCGCAUACGACCUACGGGUGAAAGCAGGGGAUCUUCGGACCUUGCGCGAUUGAAUGAGCCGAUGUCGGAUUAGCUAGUUGGCGGGGUAAAGGCCCACCAAGGCGACGAUCCGUAGCUGGUCUGAGAGGAUGAUCAGCGACACUGGAACUGAGACACGGGCCAGACUCCUACGGGAGGCAGCAGUGGGGAAUAUUGGACAAUGGGCGCAAGCCUGAUCCAGCCAUACCGCGUGGGUGAAGAAGGCCUUCGGGUUGUAAAGCCCUUUUGUUGGGAAAGAAAAGCAGCAGGUUAAUACCCCGCUGUUCUGACGGUACCCAAAGAAUAAGCACCGGCUAACUUCGUG